rnacentral:rRNA from 1 species
GAUGAACGCUAGCGGCAGGCCUAAUACAUGCAAGCCGGACGGGAUUCAGGAGCUUGCUUCUGAUGAGAGUGGCGCACGGGUGCGUAACACGUAUGUAACCUACCUUUAUCAGGGGGAUAGCCUCUCGAAAGAGAGAUUAAGCCCGCAUAAAAUCACAGCACAGCAUUGUGUAAUGAUCAAAUAUUUAUAGGAUAAAGAUGGGCAUGCGGAACAUUAGCUAGAUGGCGGGGUAACGGCCCACCAUGGCGACGAUGUUUAGGGGAUCUGAGAGGAUGGCCCCCCACACUGGUACUGAGACACGGACCAGACUCCUACGGGAGGCAGCAGUAAGGAAUAUUGGUCAAUGGGCGGAAGCCUGAACCAGCCAUGCCGCGUGCAGGAAGACGGCCCUACGGGUUGUAAACUGCUUUUAUACGGGAAUAAACCCAGAUACGUGUAUCUGGCUGAAUGUACUGUAAGAAUAAGGAUCGGCUAACUCCGUG